rnacentral:rRNA from 1 species
AUGACGCUGGCGGCAGGCUAACACAUGCAAGUCGAGCGGUAGCACAAGAGAGCUUGCUCUCUGGGUGACGAGCGGCGGACGGGUGAGUAAUGUCUGGGAAACUGCCUGAUGGAGGGGGAUAACUACUGGAAACGGUAGCUAAUACCGCAUGACGUCUUCGGACCAAAGUGGGGGACCUUCGGGCCUCACGCCAUCAGAUGUGCCCAGAUGGGAUUAGCUAGUAGGUGGGGUAAUGGCUCACCUAGGCGACGAUCUCUAGCUGGUCUGAGAGGAUGACCAGCCACACUGGAACUGAGACACGGUCCAGACUCCUACGGGAGGCAGCAGUGGGGAAUAUUGCACAAUGGGCGCAAGCCUGAUGCAGCCAUGCCGCGUGUAUGAAGAAGGCCUUCGGGUUGUAAAGUACUUUCAGCGAGGAGGAAGGCAUUGUGGUUAAUAACCACAGUGAUUGACGUUACUCGCAGAAGAAGCACCGGCUAACUCCGUGCCAGCAGCCGCGGUAAUACGGAGGGUGCAAGCGUUAAUCGGAAUUACUGGGCGUAAAGCGCACGCAGGCGGUUGAUUAAGUCAGAUGUGAAAUCCCCGAGCUUAACUUGGGAACUGCAUUUGAAACUGGUCAGCUAGAGUCUUGUAGA